AGUUUUAAAACUACUGAAGAGAGAACCUUGAGAGUGUUCUAGAGAUACGGUGACGGCCUGCCAGUUCAGAGUGCAGCCAGGGUGCGGGUUUCUUGCACAUGUGUGACAGCUUUGAGUUGCUGUAAGCCUGUCCCACGCUUUCGCGCUUUCCACCCUGAUCUUCUUUCUGUAGUAGUGCUGUCACUUGGCUAAUGGAUCUCCCAUCCACACAGGUCACCUUGGUCCUGUCCUCGGGAUCUUUCCAGGAGGUUUUCCAGAAACAGCCCUGUUGCCUGACCCUGCAGACUGCAUCCCUGAUUCUCUGCAGUGAGAUCCUUAAUUGAGCUGCAGCGCUAAAGAAUGCAGGCUUUCUCUGCAAGGCACAAUCGGCUUCGUAUCCUUGGUCUGGACAGACUGUCAGACAAACCCUGUUACUAUGUGGGAAAAGGAGGAGAUACGGAUCAUUGGGGAUCAUCUUAAAGGCCAGAUUUUGCAGAAAGUUCCUCAAACUCACCAUCUCUUCAACAAAUAUGUGGCUCUUAAUGUAUCUGGGAAAAGGCCGGAACAGACACAGACAAGGGGAGCUUCACAGAGCAGCUGAGCCGGAUUUUGGUAUGAGUCAAAUGGAAUAAAGAGAUGGGAAGAGAAGAUACUGAGCAUAAAAGGAGAAAGUUACAAAGCUUUGGGAAUUCUUCAGUGACUUGUGUAAGUUUAAAAAAAAUUACUAAAGCUAGGUGUGGUAGCGCAUGCCUGCAUUUCCAGCACUUGGAAGACUGAGGCAGGAGGAUCAACACGAGUUCAGGGUUAUCCUGAACUACAGAGUGUUCAAAACAAAACAAA